UACGUAGGGUGCGAGCGUUGUCCGGAAUUAUUGGGCGUAAAGGGCUCGUAGGCGGCUUGCCGCGUCGGAUGUGAAAGCCCGGGGCUUAACUCCGGGUCUGCAUUCGAUACGGGCAGGCUAGAGUUCGGUAGGGGAGAUCGGAAUUCCUGGUGUAGCGGUGAAAUGCGCAGAUAUCAGGAGGAACACCGGUGGCGAAGGCGGAUCUCUGGGCCGAUACUGACGCUGAGGAGCGAAAGCGUGGGGAGCGAACAGG
rnacentral:rRNA from 1 species